ensembl:lncRNA
UAAACUAGGGUGUUGGAGCUAGCCUUUAUCAGCUGGCAAACUAAUUGUUAAAAUUUCAGGAAUUCUUGUGAGUUGGUUGUCAAACCACAGGUAGAUUGAACUCUGCCAUGGAGGGAAGUAUUUACACCACAGAAAUUGGCACAGACGUUACACAUCCGCAACUUGUCUAACACUUCCCCCAGCUGCUUGUUAAACAUUUACUCAGAUGGCCGCUUCCGGGCUGGCUCUGGGCCUCUCUCCAGGCUCAGCUCACACACCGGAAGUGCCGAAUGGACCACUAUUCCUGUCCCUGGUUUUCCGCGAAUGCUGCCCCCUUACCCUGGCUUCAUUUUUCAAGAUUCAAGUCCAGCGUCAUUUCCUGGAAAAGACUCCUCUCUGCAGCUGCUGAGUCACGGUGGGGCCGAGUGGAGGGAGAUGCUGUAUUUGAAACUGGAGGGGAAAUUCUCCGGAGCUCCCUGGAGGGGGUGAGGUGAAGGGCAGCUCGAGCAGGGCCUGCUGACGGUGCAGAGAAUGAUCGAGAAGCCGCCCUCCUGAGCGCGGAGGCCUGGAGCUUCCUUCUGCGUGGCAGGAGGGCGCUGGCCUGUGGUCCCUCUCAGUGGGGGCGGGAGGAACUGAUCUCUCAGCAUGAAAUGGUCGCCUGGCCUCUGGGAAGGCUCCCAGCAGUCGACGCCCAGGCCAGGCCUGGCCGGCUGCUCCUCCAGCUGCUGCUCCCAGCCGGAGCCAUUUUCCGACCCCAAAGACUUGUCAGCAGGACUAGAAAUGCUUGGACCCUCAAAUGUAACCCCGAAUAUCAGCAGCAGACCCCCCCACCCCUGGGGGAAAAGUCUCCAAUCAGAGAUCCUCUGAGGCGAGCCAAGAGCGGUUUUGGAGGGAGCAGCGCAUAUUUUGAGGGAAGAAGCCCCAUGAGAGCCUCCCUGCAAGAAGCCAGAACAUUAUCACCAACCCCUCUCCUCUGUCCCCUCAAAGGCCUCUCCUGACCACAGUGUUAGUCCUCUGAGUUGGCUGGUAGAACAAUUAGCUUUCCUCAGGGCAUGGGCGGAUCACCAAGUCAGGCCUCCAAGCAGGGGUUUCCUGUCACCAAAGCCACACUAAUGCAAAUCCAUUUUUUAUUAGGCGAAAAUAAAACUCACAAGUGACAUCAAC